UACAGGGGGGGCAAGCGUUGUUCGGAAUUACUGGGCGUAAAGGGUCUGUAGGUGGCCAACUAAGUCAGACGUGAAAUCCCUCAGCUUAACUGGGGAACUGCGUCUGAUACUGGAUGGCUUGAGUGUGGGAGAGGAAUGCGGAAUUCCAGGUGUAGCGGUGAAAUGCGUAGAUAUCUGGAGGAACACCGGUGGCGAAGGCGGCGUCCUGGACCAACACUGACACUGAUGAGCGAAAGCCAGGGGAGCAAACGGG
rnacentral:rRNA from 1 species